CCUACGGGUGGCAGCAGUCGAGAAUCAUUCACAAUGGGGGAAACCCUGAUGGUGCGACGCCGCGUGGGGGAAUGAAGGUCUUCGGAUUGUAAACCCCUGUCAUGUGGGAGCAAAUUAAAAAGAUAGUACCACAAUAGGAAGAGACGGCUAACUCUGUGCCAGCAGCCGCGGUAAUACAGAGGUCUCAAGCGUUGUUCGGAAUCACUGGGCGUAAGGCGUGCGUAGGCGGUUUCGUAAGUCGUGUGUGAAAGGCGCGGGCUCAACCCGCGGACGGCCCAUGAUACUGGGAGACUAGAGUAAUGGAGGGGGAACCGGAAUUCUCGGUGUAGCAGUGAAAUGCGUAGAUAUCGAGAGGAACACUCGUGGCGAAGGCGGGUUCCUGGACAUUAACUGACGCUGAGGCACGAAGGCCAGGGGAGCGAAAGGGAUUAGAUACCCCUGUAGUC
rnacentral:rRNA from 1 species